ACUCUGCAUCUGAAGCCGCCUGAGGUUUUUAUUAGAAACCGUUGGGUUGAACCAAGUGUCCGGUUCGAAAGUGCUAGUCGGCCUUCAUGGCCGGCAACAUCCCCAAACUGACGGGAAACUCCUAAUGCUGCARACACCAAGCUGAACUUGCGAGAGUCCGGKGGCCGCGCUUAACCAGCGCGGGUAUGGUAACAGAGCUGCARAUGAAACAAUGGACAACCCGCAGCCRAGCAACUGCGUGCCUUUGUGCGCGCGCAGUUGAAGGUUCARAGACUAGAUGGGGGKGGGUUGGUUCACCARAAAUCGGCUUAARAUAUAGUCCGGCCGGCACCGAARAGGUGUCGGAGUCAGGCGCUACCCAGCUUGCAAAAAUGGGAGCCUGCGGCUUAAUUUGACUCAACACGGGGAAACUCACCAGGUCCAGACACAUUAAGGAUUGACAGAUUGAGAGCUCUUUCUUGAUUAUGUGGGUGGUGGUGCAUGGCCGUUCUUAGUUGGUGGAGUGAUUUGUCUGCUUAAUUGCGAUAACGAACGAGACCUUAACCUGCUAAAUAGCCAGGCUUGCUUUUGCAGGUCGCCGGCUUCUUAGAGGGACUAUCGGCUCAAGCCGAUGGAAGUUUGAGGCAAUAACAGGUCUGUGAUGCCCUUAGAUGUUCUGGGCCGCACGCGCGCUACACUGACAGAGCCAACGAGUAUAAACCUUGGCCGAGAGGUCUGGGUAAUCUUGUUAAACUCUGUCGUGCUGGGGAUAGAGCAUUGCAAUUAUUGCUCUUCAACGAGGAAUAUCUAGUAAGCGCAAGUCAUCAGCUUGCGUUGAUUACGUCCCUGCCCUUUGUACACACCGCCCGUCGCUACUACCGAUUGAAUGGCUCAGUGAGGCCUUCGGACUGGCUCAGGGAGGUCGGCAACGACCAUCCAGAGCCGGAAAGUUGGUCAAACUUGGUCAUUUAGAGGAAGUAAAAGUCGUAACAAGGUUUGGAAUGAGAUCUUUCCGUGACACUUAUGAGAAGCCUUUGUGGCCCUGCAAAGGGUACCCUCCGCGACUAAAAAUAAGAAUGUUGGGUAUUAAAUCGCAAGUCGGUACUAAUCAACCGGCCACACUUUCGAAUUGCGGGGACACCUUAAAGCCAGCUCUACCAAAUCGGUUAGGAAACUAUACCGGUGGCUAAUGUUAAUUACAUUGGGUAUGGUAAGAAUGAGACUGGAUGAACAAUAGGCCAUCCGCAGCCAAGUCCCUAAAGCUCCGGCUACGGGAAAGGUUCACAGACUAGGUGGAAGUGGGCUGCUGAAUUUUAGAUUCUUCAGCUUAAGAUAUAGUCGGUCCUUAUAAGAAAUUAUUCGGAAGUCACUAUGACGCAACAAGAUGAGGGUACCAAUUUAAUGUACAUUUGCUUGGCCCCAACUUCUUGAGUAACGUUCCGUAGGUGAACCUGCGGAAGGAUCAUUAAAAAGGUCUUCUGACCAAAAACCCUUUGGUCCGGUCCGCCGGCCAAAGUUCAACCCAUGUGGAUCAUCAAUUUUGCUUUGGCAGCUGGCCUAGAGGCGUCAGUCUCCGGCCGUCAGCCUGCCGGCGGCACCCAAUUUAAACCUGUUUUAAAACCUGUCUGAAUUAAAUAUUUCUUGAAUGAAAAUUAAAACUUUCAACAACGGAUCUCUUGGUUCUCGCAUCGAUGAAGAACGCAGCGAAACGCGAUAGUUAAUGUGAAUUGCAGAAUUCAGUGAAUCAUCGAGUCUUUGAACGCACAUUGCGCCCUCCGGUAUUCCGGCGGGCAUGUCUGUUUGAGCGUCAUUACAACACUUCGGUUAGUAUCUUUGCUAAUCCGGUCAUGAGCUGGCUGAGCCCGUAAAGGGCCUCACCCGCUUUAAAUUCCAGCGCUCCGUGAGCGGUCAGACCAAAAGAACAUAGUACAGAUCCUUCCAUUGUUCGUCAAGGUCCUGACCGGUUCCGCCUGAACAAACCGAUCACAAGGUUUGACCUCAGAUCAGACAAGGAUACCCGCUGAACUUAAGCAUAUCAAUAAGCGGAGGAAAAGAAACCAACAGGGAUUGCCUCAGUAACGGCGAGUGAAGCGGCAAGAGCUCAAAUUUGAAAUCUGGGGUUUUCAGCCUCCGAGUUGUAAUUUGAAGAGGAUGCCUCGGUUGUGGUCCCGGCCUAAGUUCCUUGGAACAGGACGUCGCAGAGGGUGAGAAUCCCGUACGCGGCUGCGGACUUGCUUCCACGUGUGGCUCCCUCGAAGAGUCGAGUUGUUUGGGAAUGCAGCUCAAAAUGGGUGGUAAGUUUCAUCUAAGGCUAAAUACUGGCGAGAGACCGAUAGCGCACAAGUAGAGUGAUCGAAAGAUGAAAAGCACUUUGAAAAGAGAGUUAAACAGUACGUGAAAUUGUUGAAAGGGAAGCGCUUGCGAUCAGACUUGCUAGCGGUUGAUCAACGUUCCUUCUGGUUCGUGCACUCUGCCGUCUGCAGGCCAGCAUCGGUUGGUGCGGCGGGACAAAGGUUCCGGGAAUGUGGCUCUCUUCGGGGAGUGUUAUAGCCCRGUGCGUAAUGCCGCCUGCUGCCGACCGAGGUCCGCGCUCACGCUAGG
rnacentral:rRNA from 1 species